rnacentral:misc_RNA from 1 species
CCUUGUGAUCAAAUUCAGCCAUUUUCAGAACUAUGGGUAUAAUUAUUGGUUUAGGACCCAAUUUUUCUUUCCUAACAGAAGUAUUUCUCUCUCUCCCAGCACUUGUAAUUUCACCUGCAUGACCAAAACAACAGUUUCAAAGUUACACUUUGUGUCUACAUUCAAAAUUGAUGUUACAGACACCUGUACAUAGAAGAGACUGAACAAAGCAAUGGGCUUAGGAUCAAAAUACAAGGCAAGAGUUGCACUUAUUAUCAGAAAUACCUUCUGCUGUGUUAACAGGUUCUUGUGAAUCUGGGACUUUAUUCACCUGAUCACUAAAGUUUCCCUCCUCCAAACUCACAUUCUCAAGAAUGGAACUGAUAUUUUCAGUAUGACUUACAGUAACACUUCUAGGAUUUUUUUCCACCUGUUUCAAAGGAUCAUUAUCAAUCACAGCUACGGGAUUUGCUUCCUUGGUUUUUUCUGGCACAUUAGCCGGUGACUUGUUUUCUUCAUCCAUUAAAUAAAUGCUUGGAUCCAAAUGUAUACCCUGCCAUCAUUGUCAGAAAUAACAGAGAUCAAACAAGAAAGUACAGUAGCAUUAUCAUGCUCCAUAGUCUUAACAAGAAUAAGAUAAAGCAAAUGAAGUAUAAUCAACAACAUACUGUUUUAAUGCUCACACCAUGCCACGGGCAGAUGCAAUGAUAGAAUUUGCAUUUAGAGGAAACAUACAAUUUGUUCUUCUUGGUUUGGUUCACAUACGGUCAAUCCUUUCCGGUUGUAAAUUAAAAUCUUGCUUCUUAGGCAAUGCCAUGUUUAUGCUUGCACUAUCAAUUAUCUUCUAAUGGCUAUUCCAGCUUUUGGAUUUGGUAAAAUAAUUGCAUUUGCACUAUAUCUAGAUCCUGACACAAAAAUCCACUUCUUGGACCUCCAUGAUUUUUGCAGCAUAAUAAGCCCCCUAACAGAAUCUUUUUCUGAUGCGCACACACAAAGAAU